rnacentral:rRNA from 1 species
AUUGAACGCUGGCGGCAGGCCUAACACAUGCAAGUCGGGCGGGGUUUUCGGACCUAGCGGCGGACGGGUGAGUAAUGCGUAGGAAGCUGCCCGAUAGAGGGGGAUACCAGUUGGAAACGACUGUUAAUACCGCAUAAUGUCUACGGACCAAAGUGUGGGACCUUCGGGCCACAUGCUAUCGGAUGCGCCUACGUGGGAUUAGCUAAUUGGUGAGGUAAUGGCUCACCAAGGCGACGAUCUCUAGCUGGUUUGAGAGGAUGAUCAGCCACACUGGAACUGAGACACGGUCCAGACUCCUACGGGAGGCAGCAGUGGGGAAUAUUGGACAAUGGGCGCAAGCCUGAUCCAGCCAUGCCGCGUGUGUGAAGAAGGCCUUCGGGUUGUAAAGCACUUUCAGCGAGGAGGAAGGGUUAGUCGUUAAUAGCGGCUAAUUUUGACGUUACUCGCAGAAGAAGCACCGGCUAACUCUGUGCCAGCCGCCGCAGUAAUAC